GGGGGCGCAGCCCGGUGAGCGGGCUCCGUUCGGUUCCUCAUUUCCCAUCCAUUUCCCGCAGGGAGCGGGUGUCUGGCGCCGUUCGCGGUGGUACGGCCGUGAUUAUAACCAUAAGUGGUUAUAACCAUAAGACUUCAUACCGGGAAGUCGGACAGCACCGAUCACCCCACAGAUUACCUCGCUAAUUGUAGGUUAGCUGGUACGCGGCGCUGCUGGUUCUUGUAGACUACAAAGCACAAAGUCCCAAACCAUGAGCCCCCUUUGCAGAGCACUUUUACCUCCCCGAGGCAAUAGCUUCGGUUCCCCAGCAGCGCAGCUGCUCCAUUAAAGUGUCAAAGAUUACUUUUCAAUCCCUCUUAAGUGUUUACAACAACCCACAUCCUGAAACUGUUGUUUUCCCUACUGGAAAUUAUUCUUUUUCCAACAGACAUCCAAAUGUUCAGCCUUCAGAUCACACUCCACUGAGUUUUGCUAAAACCACCCCCCCACACACACUGUUUUGCCUGCAGUGUGCUCCCCAUAAUGUUAAAAGUCUGUUACAAACACUUCAUAUCCAAAACCAAGCCUCAUAUGGCUCCUGGAUUACAAUAUAUUAAUAUGCAAAGCAUUUUGUCUUAGAACUGAUUGCACAUCUCGCUUAUUUAAUUACAGAAUGCUUUUAUUUACUGAGGGAUUAAUUAGAUAUCUGACAGUGCUAAAGCAACUUUUUUGCUCAACUCUAAAGACAGCUUCACCUCUGCAAGGCUGAUAACAGAAGAGCAGUGCCUUCCCAUGGGACCACUUAACUUUAGAACUUAUAAAAAUAGACAAAUGUAUUUUAAACUGAAGACUUUUUAUAUAGAAACCGAGAGUACUUGGAUUUUUGGGGGUAGAGUAUCUGUUUCCAUUAAAGCUUGCCAGAAAUUUUAAAAAUUACCAGAAAAUGGUCUAAACAGAAGGAGCUCAAACUGUAAAUGCCCAUAAGAACAACAGUCUACACACCCACCUCCUAACAUCUACCACAUAUGCAUGCACACUCCCAGCGUCCCAUAGUAGUGUUGGGGUAUUACACCAGUAAAAGUCUGACAGUGGCAAAUUUUUGGGUCUUGCCAAAACAUGAAAAGAGAUGAUGCGCUUCUACAUUCGCUGAAUUUUUUUUAAGGAGAGCACCGUGGAUUACUUGGUGAAAUUCAUCCUCAUACAGCCAUGCACCAUGGUACUGGAAGUCCUUUCAUCCUUUGGAAGAAUUCAGAGUCUGGUGUCAAACAAACCUAUUUAGUCUUCUUCCUCUAAUGACAAGAGAUGUGCACUCACUGACUCUUACUGAAGUAGAAAACAGGAUUUUUAUCUUGAAAAAUCACCGUGUUCUUUUCCAGCAUGAGCAGCAGAGCACCCAUCUUCUCUCUAGGGAGACCAGACUCUCUUCUCUGCUUUGGCCACCACUGUGCUCACCUGCUCUCAGACUCCCUGUGCCUCCAAAGUGUGGACUUAAUGAGGUUGUCUUCUAACCUCUUUCUUUUUCUAGGUGACACAAAGCCUGUCCUAGAGAAAUUUAAAUAUUUAUAUGUGUAAGGUUACAAUGGUUGCGAAGAUAGUUUCCCAUUAAAGGAACAUAUCUGACAACUUUGAGCUACAUUCUUUUAGAUAAUGCCAAAACAAGAUAUUUAAAGGCAGAUUCCAUUUCUACCAGUGUCCCACAAUUUGGAGCUGCACACUGCUCCUUUAGCAGCACUAAGGAUGGGGAGGAAAAGCUCAUCCCACUGCUCUUCCCAGCAGAAGGAUACAGGAGAUAGAGGUAGCAGCAGUUGGCACAUCAGGAGUUAAACAAUUUGCUUUUCUUUAACAACACUUCAUUUCUGCCCUCAAAGUUUAUCUACAUUAAAAUAUUCUAAAUGUAGUGUGUUUCUGUAAGUCUAAUUAUAUGCGGCAUGCGAAAACAUAUUUGAUAAUCACAUUGCUAAUUACGUGCAAUCACUUCAAUACACAGGUGCAAAGCUCCAGAAAUAUGCAUAUUUUAAUCACUUUGUAUAUAGAUAUAAGCCACAACUUUUUAUUUAAGCAUUCAGUGAUUCCUUAUUUUUCUGGGACUACACUUCUUUGGAUUUUUGACUGGCUAGUGCCAGAGAAAGUAAUAUACUAGGCUACUACAAAUCUGGAAUUUAAUUUAUAUGUAUAUGUUCCAGAAAUUACAAUUCCUGUAAUUCCUUACUUUUCCAUGGUUUAUGAACAUUUUAAAGCACACAUUUUAUAAUUUAUUGAUGGAUACAGCAUGCUGACUUCAGAGAUAUAGGAAUCAUAAUUUUUAUUUUUCAUCUGGGAGCUUUAAUUCUCACAGUGUUCCUUUAGUCUGGAAAAUCAUAUAUAUGUGCAUGGAAAUGCGUCUUCUCCAGUUUGCAUUAAACUCAAAAGACCUUCUUAAUUGUUUAAGAACAGAAGGUCAUAAAAAUCUUGAGCACUAAAUUCACUUUCAUUAUAUUUGUAAUGGCUUGUGGCUGCACUUUUUGCUUCUCUUUCAUUUACAUGUAACUUAUUUUUUACAUUGAUUUUUAAAGAUGCCUUCACCAAAUGGAUUGCAAUUAUCUUUGUGUGUAAAUCAUAAAAAUUGCAAAUUUUAUAUACUCAGAUUAACUGAAAAGGACAUAAAAUAUUGAUUUGCAUAAUUCAAAAGUAAUAUUUCAGUUUUCCCUCUAAAGAUAUUUAGUAUAAAUUGCUGGAAGGAAUGCUUUAGAUUACUUGUCCAUAACUAUUAUUUUUCACAUUGAAAAGUGAGCUGAAAUGACCCCUGACAGACAAAAAACUCAUCUACUGGCUACUUCUAACGUUAACAAAAGGACAGACCAAUAGAAGGGACACAGCAAAACCAGAAAUGCAGCAUUAAAAUUUGUUCCACAAAUUCUGGAAACAAAUCUGUCAUAUUUCACACAAUAAAGCAGCCAGCUUGUUCUGUUUCACUUUAGCUACACAAAUUUUUAAUUAAAGUAAAUUACACUUAAGAGUCGCAGAACAGUUGUUACGGGUAUUACACGUGCCAGCCACCAUAACAGCAUUCAACAAGGUUUUCACUAAAUCAAUAAGCCAAAAAGAGACUCUUCUAUUAAGUCCUUUUUAUAAGUAGUGCUACAGCUUAAGCUGGGUGCUCCCCAAAAAAGACCUCAAACAAAAAAAUUGCUGGGCAAUUAUGCCCUUAGAAAUUUCCCACCUCUCAUGCAACUGAUGGUUCCAGUAGUAAUAUUAAGCUCAUGAUAGGCACAACAUGAAGCACAAUGAGAUUCAUCUAAAUAUGAGGAAAAGCUUCUUUGCUGUGGGGAUGACAGAGCACUGACACUGGCUGCCCAGAGAGUUUCUGAAGAUACUAUAAACCUGCCUGGACAUGAUCCUGUGCACCUGCUCUAGGUGAACCUGCUUUAGCAGAGCUUUAGACUACAUGAUCUCCAGAGGCCUCUUCCAGCUCCAAUCACUCCAUGAUUCUGUGAUUCUGACUGGGGCCUUCCCAUUCUUCCUUGUGUCCCCUCACUGUCUCUACAUAGUGUCUGGGCCACUUCUCUCUAAGGUGGAAGCUUCUGCUGCUGAUUGCAAUUUCCUUGUCUUCUGACUUGAACUGGCUCUGGGGCCUUCUUUUACUUGACCAUAACAUGUGCUGAAAAUAUCUAGGUGAAAGUUUACAGCUUGCAGCCUACAACUUCGGCAACUUUAUCUACUGAUGUAAGUUGUGCAAAGCAAAUUCUGUAUAAGUAGCACACCAAAUCACACCACAUAGUUUAGGCUGGAUGAGUGCACUGGAGGCCAGCUUGCUCUACUCAUGCAUAAAGCAGGACCAGCUUCAAAGUCACCUCAGGUUGCUCAGCACAUUGUCCAGUCAAGAGUCACAGCAUCAUAGAAGACAGGUGUAAUUCCAUGUCACCACUGUGAAAUUAAAACAACAAAAUGCACAGGGGUUUGGAAGGACAUUUUUGUUUGGUGAAACAUUGGAGAUGGCUGGACAAUAGGUGGUGGCUGCUACAUCCCUGGAAAUAUCCAAGGCAGGGGAGAUUGGACUAGAUGAUCUUUGGUGGUCCCUCCCAACCAAACUAUUCUAUGCUUAUGUGAUUCUUUCAAGAAGUGUAUUAUAGUUUUUGUUCAGGCAUUAGAAGUGCACUAGCAAGACAUUCAAAGGGAAGUGAGGAAUAAACACGAGAUUUGUCCUUCCAACUGCUCAGUCACACAAAGCCUGCAAGCCAGCUGGCACCCAGCUCUGCUGUGACCUGAAUGCUGCUCCAUGCAGAACCAGGAACAGGGAGUUACUGCACAAGUUACCUCUUCCAGAGCCCAUGCUGCCUUGCAAGACAAUGGUUUCUGCUGAGUCUGUAAUCCAGCCUGAGCCAGGAGCUGCUGUGAAAGAGCCCUGCCUCCCAGCAUAAGCUAUCACUGGAGCACUCUGGAUGGUGCAGUCUGCACCCUGCACAGGUGAAAAUACAAUUGCAAUUCUAACCCAGUUUAAAAAGGAUAGAAGAGUUUGUUCAAAGAAAAACUGCACUUGGCUUUGAGUAGACAGUAAAUCAUGGGUCUGCAGUCCUCGCAUCUGUCAAAGGUGGCUUGACAUAUUCAGUUGCAUAUUCAGGACUCACCAGCUAAUUUCCCAAUUUACAUCUUUUUAGGCAUUCUGGAAAGGAUUCAGAAUUCUGCUCACUUAUCUGACUAAAAAGGAAAAAUCACUGAUAUACUUUGUUGUACAGGUACAUUUCAUCUUUAUAUUUUCCAUCUUGCAUGUAGCAAUAGCACCUUUUGAUCCCUACAUGAUAGGCCUACAAUUCAAAUCCUACUACCCUAUUCUGGGAAAUAGUGUAUUUUCUCAGUGAAUACACCUCUACCUUCACACUAAAGUCUCUUUUGGUGCUGGUGUGGCACUAUGUGGCCAGCAUUGUAGGCACUGAGGCACUUCAUUGCACAUACCAGUUUAUCAAUUAAUGUAAAAAUACUCAGCUUUGCACAUUUUAUUUAUAAAUAUUUUAUCUUCUGAAGUUAUAAUCUCCCCAACAGUUGCAUGUGACAAAUCAUGUCUAAUAUACAAGUAUGUGGCUAUUAUUUGAAUCAUCAACAAUGGUGAUUUAAUAACUUAUUGUGAAUUUUAGGCUAAAUUAUAUAUCAUCAGCAUAUCACCUGUGUUUCACUGAGUAUAUAAAUUCACAACUUACAACUAGAGAAAGAAGGAAAAAUGUUCUUUUUUUCAGCCCCAAACACCUCACAGCAUGUUGUAAAUAAGAGAUUAAUUGUGAGCACAGGUCAGUUAACAACCAAGAUUGUUAGUUGGCAUCAGAAGUGCCAACUCAUGCUACAUGAUGAGCUUGACACAGGAAUAAUAAAGUAAGAUUUAGCCUAGACAAACUCAGAAAAACCCUGCAACAUUGUAGAUAAGCCCUGCAGUUACCCACUGGUGCAGUUUGUUGCUCAGAUUUGGCAUGGUAGGAGUCAGGGCAA